ACAUGCGGGCAACAAUUUAGUAACAUAAGUGCCCCACACACUUAUACAUGUAUAUGGAACUAACUUCUGCACAAACAAAUGUCCUAGAGCCAAAAUGGGAUUGACAAUUAACCAUUCACAAAUCGAACAUGUGUGGAGUAGCAAGAAAAACUAUUCCUUUUCCCUAAAAAUAAUUUUGAAAAGAUGUAGAUAGAUCUACAAAAAUAAGUGGCAAACUGCAAAAACAAAGAGGCCAUGUAGCCCAACUCAGUUGCUCCCCUCAGGCCUAAGCGGUAACCGCUCUCAAAGGCCCCUUUUCUCUAAAAAGAGUAAAUUUCACAAAACCACACAUUUUGGGGUAGUCUUCUCACGCAGCCUCCAGUUUUGGUAAUUUGUCCGAAAAACCACACUUUUCCAGUCCCAACAUAAUAACAAGCCCGAAAUGAUGUGUUUAGGCAGGUCGGGCCCACCUGUCAGGUGACACAUCGGACCAACCCGACCCGACCCGAUAGGCCGUUUGGCCGGCAAUACUCUACCUCUUCUCUUUCCCUGCUCAGGUCGGGUCGGGUUGGUCUGACGUGUCACCCUGGAGGCUGCGUGAGAAGACUGCCCCGAAAUGUGUGGUUUUGUGAAAUUUACUACCCUAAAAAGAAAGAGGCUCUCAGACGGGACGGACCGAACCUGCUACAUUUGAUCAGGCCUGGCAUGGCGGUAACCCAGGGCCGUCUCCAGGAUUUGGGGGCCCCGGAGCGAAAUGAAAAAAUUGUUCUAAAAUUGGGACUACUUCGUGUUACUAAAACAUCUAAAAAGAUAGCAAAAAUGUAAUGGUAGUAUACUAGUAUUGGAGCAAUAAACUGACCUCAUGUUCUACCGAAAAGCAUCAUCCGCCUAGUGUUUUUUUAAAUAAAAUCUGCAAUAGAUGAGAGGGUUCUACUGAAAAGCAUCAUCCGUAUAGCAAACAAAAAUAGUUUAAAACAAUUCAAACAUCAUAUGAAUUAUAGGUUUAUCAAUACAAUAGAUGAGAGGGUUUGACCGAACUUGGAAUUAGGAAUUUAGGACCAAAACAAUGCAGAGCAGGGCUUGCCGGCCUGGCCGCCGGAGGCCGGAGUAUGUAGAUAAAAAAUCAAAGGCAACAGCAUGGGGCAGCAGCAGGAGACGGGCGGGCAGGCGAGUCGAUCGCGCGCAGGAGGAGGCGGCGAUCGCGUGCAGACGGAGGAAAGGUGGAGCCGAGGAAUCGAGUAUCCCAGGACUCGCAUGACACUUCGCUUUUCCCGUGCGUAAUUAGAUCAGCAGCGACUUAUUUUUGUUUAAUAGGAUAACUGAUCCCAGAUUUGGUGGCCCCACGAUUUUGGAGGCCCUGAGCGGUCGUGCACCUUGCGCAUCCUCAUCGACGGGCCUGCGGUAACCAACUUUUGUGCGUGAGCAUUUUGUACUGAUCGAAGUUUUGUGGGUUUUGUACUGCAGGAAGUGACUAGUACUACGGAGUACUCACUCCGUUUUUAAAUUGUGGUCGUGGUUUUAGUACUUUACUACAUAAGCCAGUGCAUCUUUGCUUGAUUACUUCAUUGACUGACCCUAGUAUAUUAUGUACGUAUUCAAUCUUGUUAAUUGCUUCAACAGAGUAGUGACCUUGCAUUUUGCGUGCUUUCCACUACAAGUGUACUAGUAUAACAGAGUGAGUCAGACUACAUUAAAACAUGUGCACAAAAAAUUUAUGUGUUACUUAAAAUCGUAUCAACUUUGGUUAAUAUGGUUGUUACUGAAACCGAACGGAAAUUGAAUGGUUAUAACUGAGACAGAACCACAUUUUCAUAUGAAACCAGGAGAAUGCCUCGUCUGCAGUGCAGUUUUUCUUUUUCUUUGAGAGGAUCCGUCCAGUGCAUUUUUUUUUAGCGAAUCCGUCCAUCCGUAGUUCCGUAUAGAGGAGAUGGUUGUGCUCACUCGCGACGGAGGCAGGAGAAUGCCUCGUGUCCAUCUCGCCCCACGGUGCGGCAAGAGGACCGCCCUGCAACUGCCGGCUAAGUCUCCUCUCACUCGCCGCGAGGUAGAAGACUGGCGGCAGCGGCGACGAGAUUUGAUUCGAUCCGAUGCUAUUGAAAAUAUCUGAAGAUAAACAGACUACCUCCUCUGCAACCUAUAUGUCUCAGCUCAGACUUGAGGAGCAAUGGCUGAGGCUGUGGUUCUCUUAGCAGUGACAAAGAUUGGUGUUGCUCUAGGGAAUGAAGCAGUGAACCAGGCUAGUUCACAGUUCAGUAACUUCAUUACACAGCUAACAGAGCUUCAAGGUAGCAUGGGCCGCAUCAGAAGGGAGCUCAGACUGAUGCAUGGAUAUCUCUGCCGAAUGGACGUACCGAAUCGCAACAGUCAGACAUAUGGAAUCUGGGUGGAGGAGGUUAGAAUGCUCGCGUAUGGGAUUGAAGAUAUUGUGGAUGAGUAUCUGCAUCUUGUCGGUCAGAAACAUGACACUGAAUGGAGUACCUAUCUGAAGAAAGGAUUCAAACGGCCAAAUGUCUUCUUCUCUUUAAACAGGAUAGCUUCAUUGGUUAAGGAAGCAGUUAACUGAGCUCCUGUGUGCAUGCAUACUCUGAUCUUAUUUAGUUUAGCAAACCAUCCAAGUGGUUACUCAUAGCCAUUAACAAGAAUCUUUAGUUGACAUGUUUUAAACUACAAGAACAUAUAAAGGCAUAAUUUACAUUUACAUUUUCUCUGUAGCUUAACUUCUGAAAUGUUCACUUGCAGUCUCUCCCUCUCGAGGCAAAACAUAAUUUGACACUAAAGUUGAGAUCAAGCAUCUCCAUUGUUGGACUAAGUUGAGAUCCGGCAACAUCUCUCCUGCUAAAUAAGGAGAAAAAGGUAAGUCAUCUACCUUUGUAGCUUCUAAUCUUUGUUCAAUUAACAGUAAUCAAAAGGCACUAGCCAUAUUAAGUUGCACACCAUAUUCAUAUAUGGAGAGAGUUGUCCUAGCAAAAUUGCAUUUCUAAGUUUAGUUGGAGUAUUUCUUCCAAUUGCUAAAAGCUUGGCUAAGGAAAUUGCAUUUAUACACUAGAGAAACUUUACUCAUGUUGAUUUUACUCAUUGAUGACCCAUCAUACAAGAAUGCAGAGUCAUUUUUGUGGAUACAGGGACCGCUAUAGGUAUUACAUUUGAAAUGAGAUUCCUAGUGCCUCUUUUUUAAAUUCAUUUUAUGAUUGCUGCACGUAUCCAACUCCAUUAUAUAUAGGGUAACUUCUUGCUUGCACCCGUCAUUGAUAAUUCUGUAUUAUGCAGAGUAACUAGGGUCAGACAUUGUUAAAGAAAGGAAAGUUACUGCUUACUUCAUAUAUCCUUCUUUUUUUGGCCCCUAAAAUGUAUUUCUAUAUUAUUUUGUAGCUGCCCAGAAUCAGGAACUAUAGUCUCAUCUAUAUGAUGUAUUGCAAUUGCUGAUUCCCAUCUAUUCUUGCUCAUAUGGCCCUGUCGAGGGUUCUAACUGUGUAAUUUGAUGCAUUGGCUAGGUUCUCCUGCAAGGAAUGUCUCUGAAUGCAUUGUUAGGCCAAGUUUUUCCCCUUCUCCUUGUUAUUUCUCCUCCUGUUUGUUCCUCCUCUUCUCUUCCAGGUUGUUUGCUUUCUCUUCUUUCCUAGAUCUGCACAGUGGCUCCUUAAGUUGCAAGACACCAAACUGGAAAGUUUAAUUGAAGGAGAGAGAGAAAGAGAGAGAGAGAGAGAAUAACCCUUUUUUUGGAUUUUUGGCGGACUUGAACAGAACCCUCAGAUGUGGUCUGAUGUUCAUCGACAACAGCCACCUGCUGCUCCCCGGCUGCAUCCAUGGCUGGCUGCUGCUUACCCUCUUGGAGCAACGGCACCCCAAGGACUGGAUUGGACAUGGGAGGAUGUGGCUCUAUAGGAUUUUUUUAUGUUCUCUAAUGUGUCCUAUUCUCAUCAGAUAUGUAGAGACCUUUAGCUUAGAAAAUGUGGAACAUUAUAAUCAUGUAUAAUUUCUGGUCCAGGUUAUUGUUUCGGUGACUUCUCUGGUCAUAAGAAGCCUGGGCCAGAGGAUAGAGAGGUUGAUGCACUGAUUGUUAGAUGGCCAAGUAAAUUUGCUCACAGCUUGAUGAGAAUUCAAGUUUUGCUGGGUCUGUGUGUGUUUUCAGCGUUUUGCAUGGCAGGCAACCCUGGUUCUGCAGCCUGGUGCUCCACACUUUCAUUUUGAGCCCGGAGCUGGAAGGGAUCAAUAUGAAGUAUUUCCUAGAUUAAUUUGUAAUUUAGUGCAUGUUUCUUGAUUAAUUUGUAAUUAAGUUCUUUCUGUUGUUUCAGAUGGUCUAUAUGUUAUAAAUUAAACAUGCCAUGCCUUGUUGACCUAUUGUUUUCCGGCGCAACAAAGUGCGCUUACACAUCUCGUAUGUCGUAUAUACUGCUGUCCUUUGGAGUGCUUGGAAGCUGAGAAAUGAUUUAUGUUUUCAGGGACAGACAUGACUGGGCUUGAAGGGCAUAUGGUCUAAGGGGUAAGGUGAUGAUAAUUUUGAUGCGAUGCUACAAGGUACUAUACACAAGCUCCCAAUCACGCCUAUUGUAUCCCCUGCAUCGUGCUACCGGAAAGAAAGAGAAGCGGACUGCUUUGUAUCACCUGGAGGCCACGACAUACGCUGCGCUGAGCCGCUGACGGUCUCAUGCCGAGCCAGCACCAUUACUGAUGGUAGCGUUUGACGCCGUCAUUACCGAGGUAAAGAAUGGAAUUGUGUUGCCUUUUGCCAUAUGGUGCCUGCCCUGUGGGGGGGACGUGAGGAACAAUUUAAGUUCCCAGCAAUAACAACCUGGCAAGCCCAGAUCCAAGUAAAGCGGUGGUUUUCUUCCUCCUAGCGGACGCAAGAUAGGUAAAAGAUGAUGACUGGAAGUCAUGGUGGUGGGUGUUGUGAGGCAUUGAGAUGCUCUGUUUCCAAAGAAAAGCUAGAGGGGACGAGGUAUAUGGGAGGAAAUUGCAUGGCGGGUCCUUAAAUUUGGCAAGUAUGUUCAAUUUCAUCCAUUAACUUGAAAACUUCAAAAAUGAGACCUUAAACUUGGCAGGUUUAAUAUUUGCGAGUUAAUGGAUGAAACUGAACAUACGUGCCAAGUUUAAGGAUCCACCGUGCAAUUUCCUAUUUCUACCAACUACAAGCCUUGUGUCUCCCCUGGAUCUGCAUUCUCUUCUGCAUACAGCCACAAGUAUCCUCUUAGCCAAACAUAGCAAAUAAAUUAAGGGUCUCUUUGAUUCAUAGGAUAGGAAAAACUUUACAGAGCCAUUUGAAUUCUAUAGGAUUGUGAUUACAUCAAAAUUUGUUUUGUUUUGUUU